rnacentral:snoRNA from 1 species
AUCCUUUUUUGAUUUGUAAGUAUAAGAUUUGCAGGCUAUGGAUUGAGAUGUACCUCUAUCAAACCUUGUCAUGAAGUCAGUGUAUUACCCAGUUGAUG